rnacentral:rRNA from 1 species
UUGACCUCGGAUCAGGUAGGAAUACCCGCUGAACUUAAGCAUAUCAAAAACCCCGGAGG